rnacentral:rRNA from 1 species
GAUGAACGCUGGCGGCGUGCUUAACACAUGCAAGUCGAACGGGAAACCUUUUAAUGAAGCUUCCGCAGAUUUAGCUGGUUUCUAGUGGCGGACGGGUGAGUAACGCGUGGGUAACCUGCCUUAUACAGGGGGAUAACAGUCAGAAAUGACUGCUAAUACCGCAUAAGCGCACAGGACCGCAUGGUCCGGUGUGAAAAACUCCGGUGGUAUAAGAUGGACCCGCGUUGGAUUAGCUUGUUGGUGGGGUAACGGAUCACCACGGCGUCGAUCCAUAGCCGGCGUGAGAGGGUGAACGGCCACAUUGGGACUGAGACACGGCUCAGACUCCUACGGGAGGCAGCAGUGGGGAAUAUUGCACAAUGGGGGAAACCAUGAUGGAGCGACGCCGCGUGAAGGAAGAAGUAUCUCGGUAUGUAAAGUUCUAUCAGCAGGGAAGAUAGUGACGGUACCUGACUAAGAAGCCCCGGCUAACUACGUG